rnacentral:lncRNA from 1 species
CAGGUGGUGUGUGGUGGCCUUGGUAUGUGCUUUCUCGUGUUACAUCGCGCCAUCAUUGGUAUAUGGUUAGUGUGUUGGUCAUUAUGUGUUGUCGUGCAGGUAGAGGCUUACUAGAAGUGUAAAAACGUAGGCUUGGAUUAAGGCGACAGCGAUUUCUAGGAUAGUCAGUAGAAUUAGAAUUGUGAAGAUGAUAAGUGUAGAGGGAAGGUUAAUAGUUGAUAUUGCUAGUGUGGCGCUUCCAAUUAGGUGCAUGAGUAGGUGUGCCUUGUGGUAAGAAGUGGGCUAGGGCAUUUUUAAUCUUAGAGCGAAAGCCUAUAAUCACUGCGCCCGCUCAUAAGGGGAUGGCCAUGGCUAGGUUUAUAGAUAGUUGGGUGGUUGGUGUAAAUGAGUGAGGCAGGAGUCCGAGGAGGUUAGUUGGAUUAGUCAUUGGUGAGUGGUAGGAAGUUUUUUCAUAGGAGGUGUAUGAGUUGGUCGUAGCGGAAUCGGGGGUAUGCUGUUCGAAUUCAUAAGAACAGGGAGGGGAGAGUGCGUUAUAUGUUGUUCCUAGGAAGAUUGUAGUGGUGAGGGUGUUUAUUAUAAUAAUGUUUGUGUAUU